UCCGAGUUGUCCCCGGCAGUCCCUCUAGAGUCCCCGGCAUUACCCGCUGGCAACUAAAGGCAGGGGUUGCGCUCGUUGCGGCACUUAAGCCAACACCUCACGGCACGAGCUGACGACAGCCAUGCAGCACCUGUGCUAGCCCCUUACGGACACGGGCUUUCACCCGCUUUAACUAGCAUGUCAAGCCUAGGUAAGGUUCUUCGCGUUGCGUCGAAUUAAACCACAUGCUCCACCGCUUGUGCGGGCCCCCGUCAAUUCCUUUGAGUUUCAGUCUUGCGACCGUACUCCCCAGGCGGAAUACUUAACGCUUUCGCUUGGAUGCGCGACCCGAAGGCCACACAUCGAGUGAGCAUCGUUUAGGGCGUGGACUAC
rnacentral:misc_RNA from 1 species